AUUGUUGCUAUGAACAAUCUACGUGAUUGAUGCUCGACGGAAUUUGCACUUUAUAUCCGUGCGAUUAAAGUGGAAAGUUACUACGGCACCGACGCGACGUCAGCGGAUAAAACGACGUGACAGCGUCUCGGACCAGAGAGACGAGUCAACAGUGAAUAACGAGUGAACGGGAAUAUCGAAUCAGAAUAGGAAUUCCCGAUUGGCGUGCGGAGCGGGAUGGCAUACAGAGUUAGAGGUGACAUUUCCCGUUCCGUGACCGCGGAGCAGUCAUCGCUCCGCUACCGCGACGAUAGUGCAUGACAGGCGGAGAUCGAUAAAUUGAACACGCAAGCCAAGUCGCGCCGUGGCGCGGCCCGAUGGGAGCUCGACCGGAAACGGAAUAGGCCGCCAUCAGGCGACGGCACCGCCCCCGUAGGGGGGUAGCGGAUUUGACGCAGUCAGUUGGUAACCGAAACGCCAUGGCGCAGUCAUCGGCAUCAAGGGGAUUGUCUCGUUGCCCCCGAUGGUCUCGGGGCCGACCGGCCGGGCGACAGAUGUUCCUGGUGCCCCUGCAACUAGAAGUGCUUCCAGCUGGAGCUACUCGGCGAAACCACCAUUUACAUCGCAUGUUACAUCUCUAAUUACAAUAAUUGAAUUGAACGUAACGGGUUAUCAAGAGACUAUAACUUGUUAUUCUACCGCUAUCAUAUUUAAACGUCUAAGUUCAAUCAUAAAUAUAUGCCUUUAAUCUAAUUUUCUUUACUCAGCUUCUUCUUUCAGAAACGUUAACAUGUAUUGGCUCAAUUUAAGUACGGAAAUAUAAAAAAUGUAGUGUUUACAAACAAUUACCCAUAUAUCGAUCGUUAAUUAAUUCUUAGCUAAUAUUGAUAAAAAAUUUGCAAUAAAAUAAAUUUUAUUUUCAAUUAUAACAAUAUGUAUCGUAAAACAAUUAUUUUAUUACUAUUAUACACAUGUUUGUAUGUACGUAUUAUUGAAGCAUACAGAUUUAUCCAAUUUAUAAUUUGUAAAAAUUUGAAAUACUCUAAUUAAUUUUAUUAAUAAAAUAUUGUAAA
rnacentral:lncRNA from 13 species